ACAGCAGAGGAUAAGCACAUGAGAAUACAUGUCUGAAAUUUCUACCUGCAGCGUUAACUCUGUUUCUCUCUCCAGUAUUACUGAUUUCCAUGUUAGAUAAAGAUCAGUCUUAAUGCGAAUGAAACGGCGAGGUCGGAGCAGACACAGGGACCGAAUGGCCUUUUGUACCAAUGGUCCGGAAGAAAUGACUGAGGUAAUUUCAACCUAAUUUGUCGGUUGGAAAGGAAGGAAGAAAUGAACCGCUGUGCGCUUGCACCUCUCACGCCCACUCUCCGAGAUGAAACAUGACGCCACCGGAAUAACGCGAAUCAUUGUUGCGGGCUCAGCCGAGGAGAGGGUUUCGUGGCGGGUUCAGCGCCGACUCCAAUAGCUGGCGAGUGUGUUGAGGGAAAUCACUUAAUUCCUCUCACUUUCUAAACAGCGAUCCAGCUGAGCGAACAUGUGGCUGAUUUCCUGUUUUUUCGUGCUAAGUUUGAGCUGUGGGUGUUUGGCCCAGACCCUGAUCCAGUCCAAAGCAUCGCUAACCUCGCCUGCCGGUAAAACAGUGCGAGUCUGGUGUCAAGUGACUGGCGUCGAAAUUAGUGACACCAACCCCAUUCACUGGUACCAACAGAAAGCCGGGCAGCCGCUCGCUCGGAUACUCUACUUUGGAAAGAUCGUGGUCUGGGAUCCGGGAUUUGGGAGCACCUUCAACGGUGGAAAAACCACUGACUCCGCAUUCUUCCUCGCAAUUGAAUUAACGGCUGAAACAUCUGCCACCUAUUACUGCGCCUGCUGGAUGUACACAGCGUGUAACAGAAACACAAUCUCCGCACAAAAAGCCAGAACACCUGUGUGCACCUGA